rnacentral:miRNA from 1 species
UGGCGUGCCUGAUGAUUGGUGUCUUACCAGACAAAGUUAGAUCUCGCUAUUUCCGUCUAAUACUGUCUGGUAAUGCCAUUGGUCACACUGGCAAGAUCUUCAUCU